AAAUAAUCAAAUAGCAUGACGCUAUGUUAUGUGGCGUUCAUAAAAUGUGCUCCGAAAUCUGAAAUCUGUGGGUAUGGAAAUCUGUUUGUGUAAGAUUCACAGAUUCCAACAUGUGAAUGCAGAAACAACGUGAGUGACAAAUGGCGCCAGCCACCGCCGCCGCCGAUACGCUGCUACCAAUCGAGCUCAUCCAGGAAAUCCUCCUGCGCCUCCCUGUCAAGCUCCUUUUGCAACUCCGCUGCGUAUGUAAAUCCUGGAAAACCCUAAUUUCCGAUCCCCAAUUCGCCAAAAACCAACUCCGCCGCUCACCGCCGGCCACGCACCUCAUCCUGAGCUUCACCAGCCUGUCGGAAAAGGUCACUCUCCGAACCUACCCUCUCCGCUCCGUCUUCAACGCCGUUACCGUUACUCCCACGGUGCUCAGCUCCCCUCUGCGCAACCAAAACGGUUUCGACUCAGUCGUUGGCUCCUGCGGCGGCAUUAUCUGCUUCGCCGUCGAACAAUCCCCUGGUUUUCUCGUUCUAUGGAACCCUACCAUCGCCAAAUUCAACACAUUGCCGCCUCUGCGCGAGUACGAUCUCAGCGAUCUGGUAUGCGGCUUCGGUUACGACAGUGCCACCCACACUUACAAGGUGGUCGCAGUUUACAGCUUCCAACGCGAUUCUGUUUGCGAAACUGAGGCCAACGUUCUUGCGUUGGGCACCAACAUGUGGAGGACGAUUCACGACUUUCCUUCCGUGUUUCUCUUGCCUGAAUCGGGGAAAUUCGUCGGUGGCUCGCUUAAUUGGUUGGCUUCAGGUGCUGCUUCGUGUUCUAGGGUUAUUGUUUCUCUUGAUUUGGGGAACGAGUUGUGUGAAGAGGUUCCGCAGCCUGAUUAUGGAGGAGUGCACGUGGUUACUGUGACUUUGGGUGUGUUGAGGGAUUGCUUGUGCCUUCUCUCUCAUGGCAACACUAGUUUGGAUGUUUGGCUUAUGGGGGAAUAUGGGAGUAAAGAGAGUUGGGACCGGUUGUUCAGUUUUUACGUGGAAGAGCCUGGCUACUUUCCAUACACCAAGAUGCUUUGUCAUUCCGAGGAUGACCAGGUGUGGACGUGUGGUUGAUUCUCAAUUUAGUCCAUAUGCUUAAAAACUUAUUAAAUUAAUCCUUAUGUGUACAACAAGAGCAAGUCUAAGAGAGACAUGGUCUUAGAGCUCCAUGGAUUUGGAAGCAUCUGCAAUUUCAAGUCGCGACACUAAUAUACAUGAAUAUGUAUGUUGGUUCAAUUAUUUGUCAAAGUGAGAAACGUGGUCACACACAUACAUCUAACCAGGUACAAUUAUUGGUAACACCGUCUAAAUAAGAAGUAACAAUAGGGACCUAAUUAAUAUGUUUUUAUAUGUAGGGACUAAAUUGAGAAUCAGUUACACGUGGACUAAAUUAUACAUUUAACCUUCUUAUUUCCUAUGUGUUUAGUCUGUAGAAGAGCAAAAGGUGAGAUGUUUUCUGUCAUGGUAAACUGAUUAAUCCAUACACACCCCCUAAUAAUAAGGCAAAGGAACUGUAAAAAUUGUGAUUAAGUUACCAUCUUGUUUUAAGAUGAAAGAAGAAGUGCAAAAGCUAAUUAUAUUAUUAUAGCAUUCUCAUUUAUUUGGACUGGACAAUAAUUUCCUUGUAGAACAUAGAGAAAGAUUUGUCAAGUGUAGUCAUGGAGAUUUAGAUAGAGAAUUCCAACCUAGGGCCCAGAUGUUGAGAAUAGACAUCAUCUGCUCAUUAAGAUAUUUCUAAUUUCUAAAUUUAAUACAAUUUUGUUAUAAAUGGUUUAUGAGGAAUAUUAAUAACUGGUGUUUGUUUUGAAAAUAAUAAUAAAUUGAGGUUGAUAGGUUACCAUAAUUUACUAUGCUCAGAAUAAGGAGUUGACUAAUGAUACUCAAUGUUAGUGUUCAGAAUUUCUUUCUUUUCAUUGUCUUCGAUUACAUCAUUGUUCUCAGGUUAUACUGGGAUUUAAUGUUGUUGGACUUAAACAGCUAAAUGAUCUCAGAACCCUUAUCUUAGAGAAACUCCUCAGCCAUGAUCUGUAGCACAAUCAAGCUGUGUGAGACUGUUGACUAGCACAGACUGCUGUGCAUAGGUUCAUUUUGUCUUCUUUUAUGUUGUUUUUUCUGCCUCUCUUCCUUUCUUCUCUACUCCGUUUUUUGUGGCUGCAAUUACUAGAAGCUAUUGUAGCAUAGCCGGUCAUGAAGAUAUCAAUCCUGAAACCCAUAUUUAAAAGAAACUGUUAGUCUGUUAUGAUUUCUAGCCUUUGGACCAAGCAAUAGCAGAACUGUUAAAUGUUGAAUUUUUUUAAAAGAAGUUCAAGUUCUAUUAAGUAUAGGAGUUUAAACCCAGAUUAAAAGUGUUGUCAUUGUCCGAUGUCAUUUAAGUUUUUCAGUAGUGUUUGUUAAGAUUUUCGUGUUUAUUUUUAUUUGUGUAUUAUUGUUUUCUUAAAUUGUAUUAAUAUUUGAUAUAGUGUGCACAUAUUGUCUAGUACCAUGGGCCUUUAUUGCAAGUUUGCAACAGUGUGCAACACAUUCUUAAUUUAAC